rnacentral:rRNA from 1 species
AAAUUGAAGAGUUUGAUCAUGGCUCAGAUUGAACGCUGGCGGCAGGCCUAACACAUGCAAGUCGAGCGGUAGCACAGAGAGCUUGCUCUCGGGUGACGAGCGGCGGACGGGUGAGUAAUGUCUGGGAAACUGCCUGAUGGAGGGGGAUAACUACUGGAAACGGUAGCUAAUACCGCAUAAUGUCGCAAGACCAAAGUGGGGGACCUUCGGGCCUCAUGCCAUCAGAUGUGCCCAGAUGGGAUUAGCUAGUAGGUGGGGUAACGGCUCACCUAGGCGACGAUCCCUAGCUGGUCUGAGAGGAUGACCAGCCACACUGGAACUGAGACACGGUCCAGACUCCUACGGGAGGCAGCAGUGGGGAAUAUUGCACAAUGGGCGCAAGCCUGAUGCAGCCAUGCCGCGUGUGUGAAGAAGGCCUUCGGGUUGUAAAGCACUUUCAGCGGGGAGGAAGGCGUUGAGGUUAAUAACCUCAGCGAUUGACGUUACCCGCAGAAGAAGCACCGGCUAACUCCGUGCCAGCAGCCGCGGUAAUACGGAGGGUGCAAGCGUUAAUCGGAAUUACUGGGCGUAAAGCGCACGCAGGCGGUCUGUCAAGUCGGAUGUGAAAUCCCCGGGCUUAACCUGGGAACUGCAUUCGAAACUGGCAGGCUAGAGUCUUGUAGAGGGGGGUAGAAUUCCAGGUGUAGCGGUGAAAUGCGUAGAGAUCUGGAGGAAUACCGGUGGCGAAGGCGGCCCCCUGGACAAAGACUGACGCUCAGGUGCGAAAGCGUGGGGAGCAAACAGGAUUAGAUACCCUGGUAGUCCACGCCGUAAACGAUGUCGAUUUGGAGGUUGUGCCCUUGAGGCGUGGCUUCCGGAGCUAACGCGUUAAAUCGACCGCCUGGGGAGUACGGCCGCAAGGUUAAAACUCAAAUGAAUUGACGGGGGCCCGCACAAGCGGUGGAGCAUGUGGUUUAAUUCGAUGCAACGCGAAGAACCUUACCUGGUCUUGACAUCCACAGAACUUUCCAGAGAUGGAUUGGUGCCUUCGGGAACUGUGAGACAGGUGCUGCAUGGCUGUCGUCAGCUCGUGUUGUGAAAUGUUGGGUUAAGUCCCGCAACGAGCGCAACCCUUAUCCUUUGUUGCCAGCGGUUCGGCCGGGAACUCAAAGGAGACUGCCAGUGAUAAACUGGAGGAAGGUGGGGAUGACGUCAAGUCAUCAUGGCCCUUACGACCAGGGCUACACACGUGCUACAAUGGCAUAUACAAAGAGAAGCGACCUCGCGAGAGCAAGCGGACCUCAUAAAGUAUGUCGUAGUCCGGAUUGGAGUCUGCAACUCGACUCCAUGAAGUCGGAAUCGCUAGUAAUCGUAGAUCAGAAUGCUACGGUGAAUACGUUCCCGGGCCUUGUACACACCGCCCGUCACACCAUGGGAGUGGGUUGCAAAAGAAGUAGGUAGCUUAACCUUCGGGAGGGCGCUUACCACUUUGUGAUUCAUGACUGGGGUGAAGUCGUAACAAGGUAACCGUAGGGGAACCUGCGGUUGGAUCACCUCCUUACCUUAAAGAA